rnacentral:rRNA from 1 species
UACGUAGGGUGCAAGCGUUGUCCGGAAUUAUUGGGCGUAAAGAGCUCGUAGGUGGCCUGUCGCGUCGGCUGUGAAAACUCGGGGCUCAACUCCGAGCUUGCAGUCGAUACGGGCAGGCUAGAGUUCGGCAGGGGAGACUGGAAUUCCUGGUGUAGCGGUGAAAUGCGCAGAUAUCAGGAGGAACACCGGUGGCGAAGGCGGGUCUCUGGGCCGUUACUGACGCUGAGGCGCGAAAGCUAGGGGAGCAAACAGG